rnacentral:sRNA from 1 species
UUAAAGAGAUACCGGGUGUCGGGCGCUUCCUCCUCCGGCUGUUCUCCUUCACAGUCGUGAUCCAUGUGCCGCACAGGCGGUAUCCCGCUUCGUGUGCAAAAAAGCUCGUC